rnacentral:lncRNA from 10 species
GGAGCAGCAGCAGCAGCAGCAGUGGGUCCCCCAGGAGAGCCUCUAAGGUCACACAGGGUGCCCACUGCAGACAGGCUAUAGUGCAUGGUGCCUCCUCCCUGACAACCACCUCCACUUCACACCAGCCACAGCAAGGAACUUUGGCACCAGCAUGGAUCUCUGCCUGCUGCCGAUGGCAUGACUGUCGAACAGGUGGUGUUCCAUCAGUUCUUUAUACCAAGUCCUUUGUGAAGCAUUCCACAGAGCAUGUGUCAAUGGCAUGUGUUCACCCGACCUCCAAAAUAGAAGAGACUCCAAGACAAAUAGGAGAUAUCAUCAGCGUGUUUCAUCACCUCUGACAUCUGAGAGAAAAAAGAAACCUGAGCCUCUACUAUUGGAUCAAAAUUACGUUAACUUAAAGAACCAGAUUAUAAAAAGCAGAAAGAUGAGGGCUCCAAGAGCCAGACUUUUGUCACGAUACCCACCAUUAGAUCAUCAUUAUAAUACCUUCAGGUGUUACAGUGUUAGUGCAACUAACACCUGGCCCAUACGUCAUGGAAUUGCACAGGAGGGCACAGGAAAGCCUCAUGAAUGUCUUACCAAACAGGGAGAGAAAUGGAGGCAGAGCGGGAGCUAGGAGCAGUUUUUAGGUCCCUAUUGAGAUCCACUCCUUCCAAGAGGAGGAAGAGCCACAGAGCUCAGCUCCCUGCAGGUCUAAGUCAAAGAGCCAGUGACUUCUGUUGAGAUGAGCUGGUGGUGCUCCCUACAGAGGCUCCCUGUGUCCAAGGACUACGAGCCCCCUACAAAAGUCUCACAAGUCUUAGAGACAGACCUCAUCCAAUUCAUGAAGCCACUCAUUGGAGUGGGCAGAUAAUUCUGAAAAUACAAUAAGAAAAGUUGUAACUACAGAGAUCAGUUUCAGGGUGGUUGAGGUUGUGAGUGGGCCAUCACUGUGAGUGGGACUACUUUGGGAACAGCAGACAUCAGAGG